GACGAACCGUGCAAACGUUGUUCGGAAUCACUGGGCUUAAAGGGCGCGUAGGCGGGCAAGCAAGUCGAAGGUGAAAUCCCACGGCUCAACCGUGGAAGUGCCCCCGAUACUGCUUGUCUUGAGGGAGAUAGGGGCGUGCGGAACUUCCGGUGGAGCGGUGAAAUGCGUAGAUAUCGGAAGGAACACCGGUGGCGAAAGCGGCGCGCUGGAUCUCUUCUGACGCUGAUGCGCGAAAGCCAGGGGAGCAAACGGG
rnacentral:rRNA from 1 species